UUAGCCUAAAGGCGCAAUGAAAGUGAAGAUCGACCUCAGCGUCGAUCGAGGGAGGAUGGCUCGUAUUACAAUUAUGCGAGCCCGCACUCCCGGGGCGUCUCGUGCUCAUUGCGAGCAGAGGCGCACCCAGAGCGUACACGUUGGGACCCGAAAGAUGGUGAACUAUGCCUGGUCAGGACGAAGUCAGGGGAAACCCUGAUGGAGGUCCGUAGCGAUUCUGACGUGCAAAUCGAUCGUCGGAACUGGGUAUAGGGGCGAAAGACUAAUCGAACCAUCUAGUAGCUGGUUCCCUCCGAAGUUUCCCUCAGGAUAGCUGGCACUCGCUUGAGCGAGUCUCAUCUGGUAAAGCGAAUGAUUAGAGGCCUUGGGGCCGAAACGACCUCAACCUAUUCUCAAACUUUAAAUGGGUGAGAUCUCUGGCUUGCUCGAACGUUGAAGCCACGAGAUUAAUUUUUGCAAUGGAUCAGAGUGCCAAGUGGGCCAAUUUUGGUAAGCANAACUGGCGCUGUGGGAUGAACCAAACGCCGAGUUAAGGCGCCUAAGUCGACGCUUAUGGGAUACCAUGAAAGGCGUUGGUUGCUUAAGACAGCAGGACGGUGGCCAUGGAAGUCAGAA
rnacentral:rRNA from 1 species